AUUGAACGCUGGCGGCAGGCCUAACACAUGCAAGUCGAGCGGAUGAAGGGAGCUUGCUCCUGGAUUCAGCGGCGGACGGGUGAGUAAUGCCUAGGAAUCUGCCUGGUAGUGGGGGAUAACGUCCGGAAACGGGCGCUAAUACCGCAUACGUCCUGCGGGAGAAAGUGGGGGAUCUUCGGACCUCACGCUAUCAGAUGAGCCUAGGUCGGAUUAGCUAGUUGGUGGGGUAAAGGCCUACCAAGGCGACGAUCCGUAACUGGUCUGAGAGGAUGAUCAGUCACACUGGAACUGAGACACGGUCCAGACGCCUACGGUAGGCAGCAGUGGGGAAUAUUGGACAGUGGGCGAAAGCCUGAUCCAGCCAUGCCGCGUGUGUGAAGAAGGUCUUCGGAUUGUAAAGCACUUUAAGGUGGGAGGAAGGGCAGUAAGUUAAUACCUUGCUGUUUUGACGUUACCAACAGAAUAAGCACCGGCUAACUUCGUG
rnacentral:rRNA from 1 species